CUUCUUUCUCGCCUUAGAUAUAGCUGUGCCACAUAAAUUUCAUAAAAAUAAGCUCUUGGUUAGCCGGGUGUGGUGGCGCGUGCCUGUAAUCCCAGCUCCUUGGGAGGCUGAGGCAGGAGAAUUGCUUGAACCCGGGAGGCAGAGGUUGCAGUGAGCCGAGAUCACACCACUGCACUCCAGCCUGGGCGACAGAGUGAGACUCCGUCUCAAAAAACAAACAAACUAACUAACUAACAAAAAAGCUCUCAGGAAAAUGGCCUGAACACAGAUCCCUCCUUUGGAUGGAGAUGCCAAAUUUGGAUCUCCAGGGCACCUCUAAUUUCUGAGGGUGGAGGCAGAGAGGCACACUAUUGGGGUCCCCGGAUAAUUUUGUGGACAUGAAGGCUGAUGUCCACUGGAGACGUCUAGUUGGCUCCUCGCUUACUAAAUUCAGCAGCUGAUGGCCCCUACUCGUUGCUGGACAGCAUAAACAUCAGGUUCUGGUAAAUAAACUCAGGCUAUCAUGCAACUGCCCAACAUGCACUUAAGCUGUGACUGACAGUUUGCUGGGGGCGGACUUAGAGUCUAGGGCCAAAGCUUUUGGGUGCAGAGACUCCAAGGUUCCAAGAUAAACAAAUCUGUCGGUGAGAGUGACCAGAGUGUUAGGUCAGUCCAAGGGUCACUUAUAGGUCAUCCUGCUGGGAGCUUGGUCUCUGCUUUGUGUUUAUGCUGGGGAGAAAAGCAGGAGGGGCCAGAGGGUUGGGUCUCCACUGGGAAAACAUCCCUGGCCUACUCAUCAGAGCCUCUGGAAGUGGAUUGGUAUCCCCUCUGCUCCCAGGAAUCCAGUAAAAGUUUGCAGAGGAUGCAGCAGGUGAGUCCUGUAGACAUCAGAGGGGCUUCGACGCUGCACAGCUGCCACUCAGAGGGGACACUGCUGGCCUCGAUCACAUCAUGGAGACCACAAGGAUGCUGGGAAUGCACUUCCCAUUGGCCGAGCUGAGGAUAUGAGCAGGCCAUGGUAGCAUCUCUUCCUCAAAGAUGAGCCAGCCGUCAUUUGAAGAGGAGGAAAGACUGGAUUGGGGAAGAAUCUGGGGCAAAAUGAAGCCAAAAUGAGAACGAGGAGAAAAGAAGAUGCUAAGGCCGCAGAUAAGGAGGUCUUGAGUGUUACAGCUCUUUUCGAAUUUGUCUAGCAUGCUUUCUGCUUUUUACUGGAAAGUGCCCCCCCUCCAAAAAAAAAAAAACGAAUAAAUAAAAAAGAAAGAUUUAAAAAAUAAAAGAGAAAGAAGGGCCUGGGAAUUGUGGCUGCUCAGAGGACACCCAGCUCUGAGUUCAGUAGACUCUGAUGAAGUGCCGCUUCUGCUUAUGGUUGUCCCUUCCCAUCUAUCCUGGUUCUGUUUAUCCUGUCUCAUAUCUCUCAGGAUAGUCAGGGCAGCUUCCCCUGUUCUCUUGCCACUGGCUCCAACAUCCUGCCUGUCACACGUUCUAUCUUUUGCUUCUUCAAAAUAUCUCUAAGAUUGACUCUUCCUUUCCUCUCUCCAUCAAGUUCCAUCUCCCGGGCUGAUCCUGCUCCUCUGCGAUAGAUUCUGCAGAUGGUCCUGUGUGGCCCAGUCUUCCAAAUGCACCUCUUCAGGGAUGCCCAUCCUCAGUUAGAGAAACGUGAGUGACCUCGAGGCCCUGCAGGGGGUUCUUCCUUCUGACUCGGCAUACUUAUUUCUCACUGCACCUGAAAGGAAACCCUUCAAUGCAGUUUUUGGAGCUGUCUCCAGUCCCCAGUCUCUUCCUGACCCUGCAUUCCUGCACUGGCUGAGAUAAACCUUUCUCCUCCUCACUUAAUCUGCCACUUAAUCUGCAUCCUGCCAUCCAUGAAAAUACUCCAACCCAGGCUGAAGUCUCCUUCUUCGCUUGCAUAUUAAAUGAGCCUGCCAUUGCUGGGCAUGUCUCUAUCCUCUUGCUGGUGAAAAUGGUGUUGCUUUCAGCCAAAAGCCUUUGAAAACUUCACAGAGCCAUGUCAUCUGUCACAUACAUUGCAAAGAGCAAAACUGGUCAAAGUUAAAGCAAAUUUAGUCGUUUAGCAUAGGGUUGUUUUUGAAUGAUCCCAGGGAUGUUAGUUUUGUCCCCCCACCUCCCAAUUUGCUACUGCUGCUGGGGUGUCUGUGAGCCUCUCACAGCGUGUUAUUUAGGGCUGGGCUCAGGGGCGGGGGGAGACGCUCACUACACACACGCUAAUUGACUUAUUGAGUUAGUCAUUUGGUCUUUGACAAACAUUUAUUUACUGCCUACAGAGAAGGCUCAAGUCGAUUUUUACUUAUCUUCCCAAAUGGCACCAAAAUUCAACAAGAGCCACCCAACACCUAGGAAAGGACUUUGACCAAUGAAAGCAACUUGAGAACAGGUUUUGCUGCCUUCAGCUCACCUUGAGCAGGGGCCA
rnacentral:lncRNA from 1 species